rnacentral:rRNA from 1 species
AUUGAACGCUGGCGGCAGGCCUAACACAUGCAAGUCGAACGAGGGGCGGACGGGGGAGUAAUGACUGGGAAACUGCCUGAUGGAGGGGGAUAACUAAUGGAAACGGUAGAUAAUACCGCAUACCCUCAGAUGUGCCCAGAUGGGAUUAGCUUGUUGGUGGGGUAACUGCUCACCAAGGCGACGAUGCCUAGCUGGUCUGCGAGGAUGACCAGACACACUGGAACUGAGACACGGUCCAGACUCCUACGGGAGGCAGCAGUGGGGAAUAUUGAACAAUGGGCGCAAGCCUGAGUCAGCCAUGCCGCGUGUAUGAAGAAGGACUUCGGGUUGUAAAGGACUUUCAGCGGGGAGGCGUUACCCGCAGAAGAAGCACCGGCUAACUCCGUGCCAGCCGCCGCGGUAAUUC